GCUGGGCAUGGCGGUGCACCCCUGUAAUCCUAGUGGCUCAGGAAGCUGAGGCAGGAGGAUUAUGAGUUCAAAGCCAGCCUCAGCAAAAGCAAAGUGCUAAGCAACUCAGUAAGACCCUGUCUCUG
rnacentral:sRNA from 1 species